rnacentral:SRP_RNA from 1 species
CGGCAGGUCUUACACGACCAGCUCCCUUUGAACCUCCCCAGGGCAGGAAUGCAGCAAGGAUAUUAGGUUGAGCGGUGCGAUGUAAUUAGCCUGCCUUUU